rnacentral:tRNA from 1 species
GGUCCUUUAGUUUAAUGGAUAGAAUUCGAGAUUCCGGUUCUCGAGGUACAGGUUCGAUUCCUGUAGGGACCAC